rnacentral:lncRNA from 1 species
CUGCAACUGAGCACCUUUUCUGCAGAAAGUAAAGACAGCCUUGCUAAGAGAUCAUUUGUCUCCAAGCUGACUUUUCUUUGCAGCACCGAUUAUCUAUUUCUAACAAUUUUGGGGGCUCGUCCAGGAUUACAGUCUCCUCUAGGGUGGGUCUCCAGUCCUCUCUUGUGAGAAGGCAUGCCCCACUACCUCGUUUUUGGCAGCCUCAGGGGUGAGGAACCGAGAUCCACCCAGUGUGAUGAAUAAACUGGGACUCUCAGCAACGUGGAAAGAAACUGGCUAGCAACGUAGGGUAAAGGAUCCUCACAUACUGCGGUAAUGACUCUGCACAGACCAAGGAAGGAGAAACCAUGGGAGCUGAGGCGUAUUGCUACAUUUGGGGCAAUGCGUACAUAUGUGGUUUCGUUAGCUCCAGCGGGGGCUAAUCCUCUGACAGAGCCACCUCUCACACGAAACACUGAAUGGAGGCGAUCCCGAGAUGGAUGGAGCAGCAGCAGCGCAGGUUGCUGCAGCUGUGCUGCCAGAGAUUGUAAUUCAGGAACCAAUCUCAAGCUGAGCAGAGGAAAAAAUGAGAUGCUUCAUGAAAAUGGCCAAAUGUCAUCACCAGCUAUUUUGUGAGAAGAGCUAUGUUAGGAGCCAUCCACAUGUAAAAUGGACUUUCACCAAAUUCCAUCCAUCUGCCGGUCAUGGAAGCUCACAACAUGUAUGUCUCCUGAGGGAGCCUUUUCGUUUUGUGCUUUUUCUGGCACUAAGAAAUACAGACACUUGUGAUUUACUACUGGGCACUUAUAGGAAUGGAGUCAACUAUUUCCUAAGAAACUCAAAGACUGAAAUGAGAAAUUCAGAAAAUAAAAAUAUUUUCUGUGUUAGAAAACUAUAUACCAGAAAGCCUGAAAAGUGAGGCAAAGGGCACGAAAUUCUGGUUAAUAAGAUGUUGUAGAUUAGUGAGAACUUGAAAAUGUUUUUGCUUCUAGUAUAUUUUUUGGAAUUUCUAAACUAUAUUAGCUCCCUUUCUUACCUUAGGAAUUACAGUAUUGUGAUCAUGUGAGAAGAUAGUUCUAAAUAUUAAUAAAUAUUUUUAACUUCAUCAAAUACGUCUUUGAAGAUUUCGUGUUUUGAUGUUUGAGGUCAUAGUACCAUAACAUAGAGCAGGGAUGCAGCAUUGAAGAAUUAAAGGGCGCCAAGUUAGAAAUCUAAGAAUCCAACUUUAUCAUUUAUCAAUUCCAUACCCUCGAGCCAGUCAUUUAACCUCCAAAGUUUCAGGUACUUUAGCUGUAAAAUAAAUGGAAAAGGAUAUCUCUACCAUGUUACACUCUGUAUUCCUACCCAGCUCAAAAACAGGAACUUACUAAUACUUCUCACCACACAGGCAAGUCUUUGGGACUGCUGUGAUUUGGUUAUUUGUUUGUCCUCACCCAAAGCUCAUGUUGAAAUUUGAUCCCCAAUUUGUGGUGGUGUGGUUGGGCCUAGUGGAAGAUAUUUGGGUCCUGGGGGCAGAUUCUUCAUGAAAGGCUUGGUGCUAUCCUCCAGGUAAUGAGUGUGCGUUCUCCUUCUGGCUAGACAGAAUUAGUCCUCAUGGGAAUGGGUUAUUUCCCUUGAGCAUGGGUUGUUAUAAAGAAAGAGAGGUCCCACUUCCUGUUUGGUCCCACUUCAUACAUGCCUGCUUCCCCUUUGACUUCCUAGGCCAUGUUUUGAUGCAGCACAAAAGCCCUCACCAGAAGCCAAGCAGAUGCUGGUGCCAUGCUUCUUGUACAACCUGCAGCACUAUGAGCCAAUUAAGCCUCUUUUCUUUAUGAACUGUCCAGCCUCAGGCAUCCCUUUACAGCACCCCAAAUGGGUUAAGACAG